rnacentral:lncRNA from 1 species
GGACGCGCCCGCUUCUCGCUGGAGUGCGCACCGAGCGGCAGUGACUUCGCCGCUGCUGUAGUUCCCCGGCUGGAUGCGGUGACUGGUGCCAGUGCUCAGGCGCCCGCUGCCCUUGACCUCCCGCCCCGCGAGCCCUAACUCAGCGCAGGAGGACCGGCUGCCGCCGCCGCCGCCGCCAGAGCCUUGGCUGCCCAGUUGCCAGUCCUACCACGGUCGGAGGUAACCUUCCUGGCUCCAGUCACAUGGCCAGAUAAGGUGGUGUGUGUGGGCAUGAAUUAUGUGGACCACUGCAAAGAACAGAACGUGCCCGUGCCCAAGGAGCCCAUCAUCUUCAGCAAGUUUGCCAGCUCCAUCGUGGGGCCCUAUGAUGAGGUGGUCCUCCCACCACAGAGCCAGGAGGUAGAUUGGGAAGUGGAGCUGGCCGUGGUCAUUGGAAAGAAAGGCAAGCACAUCAAGGUGAAGUGGAAAAGGUGUUGGUGUCACCCAUGAUCUAUCCUCCUGUAUGGCCAAAUCCCCUGCCCCCAUAGGCCACAGAUGCCAUGGCCCACGUGGCCGGCUUCACUGUGGCUCAUGACGUGAGUGCUCGUGACUGGCUAACAAGAUGCAAUGGGAAACAGUGGCUGCUGGGAAAAACCUUCGACACCUUCUGCCCUCUGGGCCCUGCCUUGGUGACCAAGGACAGUGUAGCAGAUCCACACAACUUAAAGAUCUGCUGUCGAGUGAAUGGGGAAGUGGUCCAGAGCAGCAACACCAACCAGAUGGUAUUCAAGACAGAGGACCUGAUAGCCUGGGUGUCCCAGUUUGUUACCUUUUACCCAGGGGAUGUCAUCCUGACUGGGACCCCCCCACCUCCACCCAGGUGUCGGUGUAUUCAGGAAACCUCCUGUCUUUCUCAAGGUCUCUGAAGGUCCAGACAGCACUGAUGGCGAGCUUUGGGUCCGCACACUCUGGAAAGAAGAGAGAAGUGAAGGCUCUAGGUAGGGAGAACAGAGAGCCACUGGGCACAGGCUUCUCUCCUCUUGUUUAAAGAAGCCCAGGGAGGGAUAGAGCUCUGACUGGACAGAAGACUGUACUCUGCAGCCUGCCUUCCUAGAGUUGGGUUGUCACUGUCCUGCAGGGGGCAGCAGCCACCAGCAAACACCACUGCCUGCAGGAGCCUGGGCUGACUGGUUGGGACUCACCGAAGAUCCCUUCUUCCUGGGCGGUGGCCUGCAGGAACUGGAACAGCUGCUCUGUGUAGCCCAACUCUGCAGAAGAGAGAAGACCUAGACCUGGCACCCAGCACAGACACAGCCUGCCUCGAGGACUGCAAGGGAACAAGGGCCUCACCAGUAUCGGGCAGCUGGCCCUGGCGGAGGAAGGCGGCAGCCUGUGCAAAGGCCUUGAGCAGCGGGCUGAGCAGGCGGCAGAGGAAAAGAAAGAAAUCUGGGCAGUGUGACUGCUGGCUGAGCUGGAGGGGACAGGCCGGGGUGAGUGCAGCUCCCCACCGCCUCCCUACCACCUCCCUCCAGGGGCAGCUUUUUGAAACACACCCUGAAGUACCGGCCGUCAGCCUCUCCGAAGUCAUCACUGUCACUAUCAGUAAAGUCCCCACUCGGUUUCCACAGCA